rnacentral:misc_RNA from 1 species
AGUAAUUAGCGAAGAAGAAGAAGCUAGCGUGAUUAAGCAGCAAAUAGUGUGGGGGACCGAAAUAUUGAAUUUACCUUAAAAUAUCUGUAGUGGAGACGAAAAUAUCUUGAUAUUCUUGGAUAAAUCGAUCUGAAUUGUGAGUGAAUUUGUCAAAAAAUGGACCCUGCACAAGAAGCUCAGAACAGAGAAACUUUCCGGCAAGCCGUGACGAAUACCCUUGAACGCCGUCUUUUUUACAUACCCUCUUUCAAGAUCUAUCGUGGGGUUGCUGGCCUUUAUGACUAUGGCCCUCCUGGAUGUGCCGUUAAAUCCAAUGUCCUCGCCUUCUGGCGCCAGCAUUUUGUUCUUGAGGAGAACAUGUUAGAGGUUGAUUGCCCAUGUGUUACACCUGAGGCUGUGUUGAAGGCGUCGGGUCAUGUGGAUAAGUUCACUGAUCUUAUGGUGAAAGACGAAAAGACCGGCACUUGUUAUCGUGCUGAUCAUCUGCUCAAGGACUUUUGCAAAGACAAGCUUGAGAGAGAUCCUAAUCUUCCUGCUGAAAAGGCUGCGGAAUUCAGGCAUGUGCUUGCUGUUUUGGAUGAUCUUUCUUCUGAAGAGCUUGGUGCUAAGAUUAAGGAAUACGGCAUUACUGCUCCUGAUACCAAGAACCCUCUUUCUGCCCCUUAUCCUUUCAACCUCAUGUUCCAAACCUCAAUUGGGCCAUCGGGCGUGAGUCCUGGUUACAUGCGUCCAGAGACUGCUCAAGGCAUUUUCGUCAACUUCAAGGACUUGUACUAUUACAAUGGAAAUAAGCUUCCUUUUGCGGCUGCACAGAUUGGUCAAGCUUUUAGAAAUGAGAUUUCACCACGUCAAGGCCUCCUGAGAGUCCGUGAAUUUACACUGGCUGAGAUUGAGCACUUUGUGGACCCGGAGGAUAAGUCUCAUCCAAAAUUUCCUGAUGUUGCAAAUUUGGAGUUCUUGAUGUUCCCAAGGGAAGAUCAGGUGGCUGGAAGAUCAGCAAGGAGAAUAAAUAUUGGUGAGGCAGUCGCCCAGGGAGUUGUCAACAAUGAAACUCUUGGAUAUUUUAUAGGAAGAGUAUAUCUAUUUCUUACUCAUCUUGGUAUUGACAAAGAUCGGUUACGGUUUCGACAACAUCUUGCAAAUGAAAUGGCACAUUAUGCCGCAGACUGUUGGGAUGCUGAAAUUGAAUGUUCCUAUGGAUGGAUUGAAUGUGUUGGUAUAGCUGAUAGAUCUGCCUAUGACUUGCGCGCUCACACGGAUAAAAGUGGUGUGCCUCUUGUGGCCCAUGAAAAGUUUCCAGAGCCCAGGGAAGUAGAGAAGCUUAUUAUAGUUCCAGCCAAAAAGGAGCUGGGUCUUGCUUUUAAGGGUAACCAAAAAAUGGUG